UAUACAUGCAGUCGAGCGGACCGACGGGAGCUUGCUCCCUUAGGUCAGCGGCGGACGGGUGAGUAACACGUGGGUAACCUGCCUGUAAGACUGGGAUAACUCCGGGAAACCGGGGCUAAUACCGGAUGCUUGAUUGAACCGCAUGGUUCAAUCAUAAAAGGUGGCUUUUAGCUACCACUUACAGAUGGACCCGCGGCGCAUUAGCUAGUUGGUGAGGUAACGGCUCACCAAGGCGACGAUGCGUAGCCGACCUGAGAGGGUGAUCGGCCACACUGGGACUGAGACACGGCCCAGACUCCUACGGGAGGCAGCAGUAGGGAAUCUUCCGCAAUGGACGAAAGUCUGACGGAGCAACGCCGCGUGAGUGAUGAAGGUUUUCGGAUCGUAAAACUCUGUUGUUAGGGAAGAACAAGUACCGUUCGAAUAGGGCGGCACCUUGACGGUACCUAACCAGAAAGCCACGGCUAACUACGUGCCAGCAGCCGCGGUAAUACGUAGGUGGCAAGCGUUGUCCGGAAUUAUUGGGCGUAAAGCGCGCGCAGGCGGUUUCUUAAGUCUGAUGUGAAAGCCCCCGGCUCAACCGGGGAGGGUCAUUGGAAACUGGGGAACUUGAGUGCAGAAGAGGAGAGUGGAAUUCCACGUGUAGCGGUGAAAUGCGUAGAGAUGUGGAGGAACACCAGUGGCGAAGGCGACUCUCUGGUCUGUAACUGACGCUGAGGCGCGAAAGCGUGGGGAGCGAA
rnacentral:rRNA from 2 species